CCUUUAGUAUAGGCAUUUUCGUCAUUGAAAACUUUUGGUUACAUUUGUUUAACCUUAAAACUAUAUAUACCCUUUUCCUCGUGUUUCUUAGAUCGUGUUCAUAGUGGCAUUCCCGCAGAACUUUACGUUGCACCAGUUCCGAGAACGGCUGCUGAAGGCGAUGUCUGAAGGUCCGCCCCUUGUUUGGAGAACAUGGAACUAUUGUUGAGGUUAUUCUACUCAGGGACAAGAGAUCUGGUCAACUACAAGCGGUCUCCAAGGACUGGAAGCACUUCUCAGAUGAGCACUUGCACAUCAGACGUUCCUGCAGUACCUCAAAGUCCAUAUGCAGCAGCUUCUCUUGAAUUUGAUUGGAGUGAACACACUUGCCAUGAUGGACACAAGUACUAUUGCAAUUGUGAGACUUGUGAAAGUAAAGUGUGUUUUCUGCCUUUUUUAAUGUUCCUGCACCCUUUUAUGAUGGUUUGCUCCUCAGUGUGUGGUUGAUUAUCUUAUUUUAUUUUAAAUGACCAAAAGUUGCAGAAUCCAAGUCAACAGCCUUCAUUACAAUUUACAAAUGUGCCUUCCUUCGACCCAAGAAUUGCAGCAGCAGUAACUUCAACUCAAACAUUCUUCCAUCUUGUCAUCUUUAUGAAAUAUUUUUUUUUCUUUUUAUGUUUACAGAGCAAUUCGGUUGCAUUAUUAAUCAUGCUUAUUGUUUUUCUGUUCAAAGGCAUGGAUAUAGAAGUUGGAAAGUAACUUGGACAUUUUGAUCUGGAUUGGAGAAGUGUUAGAACUUAUAUUUACAUCUUCCGCAGGAAAAGAGGAAGCAAAAAUGAGAAGACCUUCAGAUCUGGGAAAAAGGGCCAGGAAACCAGUACUCUAAUACAAAAUCAGCCACAGAAAAUAGGGUGACAUGGCAAAAGAAAGGAAAAAGAAAAAGAAGUAAAGGAGGGAAAACUUACCCUAAUUGCAUGUAUAGUGUUACAUGCAUGUAUAGGGAAAAAUACAAUACAUAUUUUCAUCAUUUGCUGUAAUAGUGUUACAUUCCUAUUUUCUCUAUUCCAUUGCAUGUAUAUCCCUGCUGCUGUUGUGGAAGUUCUGCUGGAAACUGUGAGGAGUGCAGAGGAGUUGCCCAGAACAGGUUCUGCAGUCUGCUCUUGGCCCAGGUAUCCAUCAAGAAGGCUGUGAUUUUAUUUAUACAUUUGUGGUAGUGCUCAGAUUGUAGCCAAUGGUGAUGAGCACCUUAUGCAAACUAACAAGAAGCAAGUUAAGAGUUGCCUGUGAAAAAUGGGAAGAGUGGGCUUUGAAACUUAAUUAUAGGGGAACUGGAUCAUCUGCAAGUGCAGUCUGAAGUGAGUCCAGUUAUUGAUCCAACCUCUGUUUAACAGUGCAGCAGAGGGAGAUUGUUUUUCUCUGAUUAAGCUAACUUCCUGGCAGAACAAAUUUAACUUAAGAACUAGAGCAGGGGAUAAGAAGCUCACAUUUAUUGAAGCUGCCAUUUGUUUGCGAGUGAUUAUCUUAAGGAUGAGUGGAUUUAGGCUCACAAUGAGUCUAUGUUCUCCAUUUUGUGAGGUGUACCGUACCGUAUAACAAUUUUGGGUUCUUAUAUUUAAUUUUAUUUUUUAUUAGCUUGAAA